rnacentral:lncRNA from 1 species
GUUGUUCUACUCCUUCCCCUAAAACCGAGGGUGAGCUACAAGUCCAUCUCCUCCAUUUUUUCACGUCACUAGAUUUCAUUCUCAAGUCAAGUCGCGUAACCUAGACGUCUCCCGUCCGAAAGGGUUGCAUCGAUAAAUAUGCAUUGAAUUGCAUAUUUAUCACCACAACAUUUUCGGAUUGUCCAGCGUUUUCCACGGACAGCCCGAGGAUGUGUAGUUUGGGUAUGUUCUCCAUGUUCUACCCCGUUCCGAGACAGGAUUUCGGCGGCGCGUCCCCAUUGUUCUCCGGAGCACAUUCUCUCGGCUAUUUGCCGAGACGUGUAUCUGGAGAACAGCGGGGAGGUGCUGACGAAAUUUUGUCUCGGAACGGGGUAGAAUGGAGAACGUACUCAAUCUACACAUCCUCGGGUGGGAUUAGGACUCAUCUUUACCUAUUAGAGAUGUAGGUGGAUUCAACACGGUAGAAAAUGAAAAUUUGAUGUGAUUAAUUUAAGUGAAUCCUUAAUUAUGUUGUUUGGCUUGCAAAAUAGCAGAGGAUGGCAGAUAAUCAGUGGAUGUACAGUGGUUUUAUCCGUCGGACUCGAGUUACAUCAGAGUGGAUCGCGAAAACUGAUGUGUAUUUGAAGGAGAUAUUUCAUCAGCCAUUGUUAUUCGAGCUCUGGGGUGAAAGCCUAGGUCUAACUUGAGAUGGUUAUAUCUGACAAUGGUGAUAUUUUUAUGUCGUUCCUUUGUUGAAGGCAAUGCUCGGAUAUGCUCAGACUGCUUCUUCAGGGUGAAAACCUAUAUUCUGGCCUUAUGUGGUUGGUCCGGUGACGGCGAUGUUUGAGAGUGGCUCUCUUCGUGAAGGCGUUGUUGAAGAAACCUCAUCGUCCGUGUGGUGUCUUGAAAUGGUUGGUGUAAAUAUGGUCAUUGUUGUAAUUUGUCGAAGGCGGAUUUAGUCGCUCUGUUUUUCUUUUCUUCGCCAACGCAUAGCUUUGGUAGUAUAUGACUUCGCUAUUUGUUGGUGUUUUUGUGUGCGUGCGUUGGUGAUGACUCUCCGCAUCCUAGCUAUGCAGAGACUGUGUGUACUCAUUAUGUGUUGUAUCCUCUUGAUACUUCAUUUGAGUUAACAAAAUUCACCCUUUGUCGAAAAGAAUUGCAAAUUUGCAAUGCAGACUUACUCGUACGCAGGAUACAGGUGUAACAAGAGACAAGAAGCAUGCAGUAAGCAGAGGUGACACUGUUUACAGAUGGUUAGAGCUUACAAUCGCCUACUAGAUGAUAACGAAAGCACUACGGUGCUGAUUACAAGCGCAGAUUCUGACAACUAAUCGCACGAUGAUUAUACAGUAAGAGAAAGGAACUAGUCUACUACCCCAACAAGAAACUCAAAAGUAGAGCACCAUGAGGAGAGGAGCGACCAACGGCACCGCCCUAGCCUGAAGCAGGGUGCCCAUCCCCACGUCCUGCGGAAGCGUGGAACCAAAAGAAGUCAGAGCAAGGUGAACAAAGCUCAAUAGACGCGGAGGCACGGGGAAAGCAAGCAUGCAUAAAGUCUUGAGCAAAGCUACGAACUAAAGAAAUCGAGAGCUUCAGAAAUUACUAGUUGCUGAUUAGUACUAGUAGUAGUACCUGCCGUUGCUCUUGUCCAGGGGUGGGCAUGGGCAGGACGGUGGCGGAGUCGGUGACGCCGGCGGGGAGCGGCACCGCGGGGUUGCUGCUGAUGAAUGCGGUGCUCGCCCCAUCGCCCGACGCGGCAGGCGCCGGCGCGCCCGCAUUGCCGCUGGCCGGCGCCCCAGGGCUCAGCCUCUCCGACGGCAGCUUCGGCAUGUACUCCUCCGAGCCGGGCACCGGCGUUGGCGUUGGCGUGGGCGUGGGCGCAGGCGCAGGCGCGGCGACCGCGACAGCGGUCGGUGCCGGCAGCGGGGAGUAAUCUGGCACCGACGGCACCACGACGGCCAUGGGGAUCUUCUCGUCGCCGAAGCCCUCGCCAAGCAGCUAGUUAAUCGAACCACAAGAAACAAGAAGACGUUAGAGAACGGAAACCGCAGCCACCGACGAACACCACCGCUAGC